ensembl:lncRNA
ACAAGAGGUGCUUUACCUGAAGCAUUACACAACCACACAAUCCUGACUGCCUGCUGUAAAAACUUGAAUUUAAUGUUCGUUUGUUUGUUUUAUUAAAGAAUAGUAACUGGGUAAAUCUCAUGAAAAAAAACAUGUCUAGGUCAUAUCUUAUCUUAUCAUAUCAUAUCUUCGCCACUAAAAUGAAAGUAAAAAAAAGGAAAUUAUAUUUUGCAUUAAGAAAAUAGAUAGUUUUUGCAUUGCAACUAUUUUUGUGAAAUGUAUUAAAUCCCACAUUUUUAUUUAAAACUGUCAGAAUACAAAGCAUAUUUACCUCAUGUAAAAAAAUAAGCUUUUUUCCUUAUGCAAAAAAAUGUGCAAAACUUUAUCAUUUUCUGACCUCAAACUAAUUGACAUUUUUGUUUUAUAAUUUAGAAAUCUACAAAUAAAUGUCACAUGAUUUCUGAUUUAUUUCCUGUGGCUUUGGAGAUGAAAUAUGAGCUGAACAGGUUGAGAUUCAUCAUCUCUGAUGCUUGUGCAUCUGAAAACAUGCUCAAGUUGCAUUUUACCCCAAAAACAAAGGUGUGGGUGGAGGGAGGGUUAAGAAAUUAUAUUUUACAUGAAUAAAAUGGGCUUUAACUUUGAAUCAUAAUUUUCCUGACAAUUUUUUUAAUUGUAAAACAGCACAAUGAAAAACAUCAAUAUCUAAUCCACAAAAUAAGCUUUUUUUCUUUGUGCAAAACCAAUAAUUAUUUGUUUUAAUAAGUAAAUUUUUCAUAAAACUUGACAGUUUUUACUUUACGCAAAACAUAAUUUCUUAUUUAUUUUCUGACUGUUGGAGUGAAAUAUUUAUUCAUCUUAGAUGCUUGUGCACCUGAAAACAUGGCAACGCCAUUUCACCCCAAACAUCAAAAGAAAAAAUACUAAGAAAUUAUAUAUUAUUUUGUUUUUACAUUGUAACAUUAUUUUCACAACAAUGAAUCAUUAAAUUCCAAAUAAUAAUUGCAAACAUUCACAAUGAAAAGCUUCUUCACUUAAUAUAAAAUGUGUUGUUUUCUUUACACAAAAUACAGCUUGCUAUUUCUUUUCUUUGAAUUUUGGGGUGAAACAAGCUAAAAAGGUUAAGAUUCAUCACCUCCGAUGCUCACGUGUCUGAAAACAUGUCAACUUCAAAUUUCACCCAAAAAUAAAAAGUAAAUAUAUAUAGCA